rnacentral:rRNA from 1 species
UACGUAGGGCGCAAGCGUUGUCCGGAAUUAUUGGGCGUAAAGAGCUCGUAGGCGGUUUGUCGCGUCUGCUGUGAAAACCCGAGGCUCAACCUCGGGCCUGCAGUGGGUACGGGCAGACUAGAGUGUGGUAGGGGAGACUGGAAUUCCUGGUGUAGCGGUGGAAUGCGCAGAUAUCAGGAGGAACACCGGUGGCGAAGGCGGGUCUCUGGGCAGUAACUGACGCUGGAGGAGCGAAAAGCGUGGGGAGCGAACAGG